UCCGAGUUGACCCCGGCAGUCUCCUAUGAGUCCCCACCAUUACGUGCUGGCAACAUAGAACGAGGGUUGCGCUCGUUGCGGGACUUAACCCAACAUCUCACGACACGAGCUGACGACAACCAUGCACCACCUGUACACCAACCCCAAAGGGGAAGGACCAUCUCUGGACCGGUCUGGUGUAUGUCAAGCCUUGGUAAGGUUCUUCGCGUUGCAUCGAAUUAAUCCGCAUGCUCCGCCGCUUGUGCGGGCCCCCGUCAAUUCCUUUGAGUUUUAGCCUUGCGGCCGUACUCCCCAGGCGGGGCACUUAAUGCGUUAGCUACGGCGCGGAAAACGUGGAAUGUCCCCCACACCUAGUGCCCAACGUUUACGGCAUGGACUAC
rnacentral:misc_RNA from 1 species